AACACAUGCAAGUCGAACGCGAACGGGGCUUCGGCCCCAAGUAGAGUGGCGCACGGGUGAGUAACGCGUGGACAAUCUGCCCUUAUGACUGGAAUAACAGUUGGAAACGGCUGCUAAUACCGGAUACGCUCAGGAAGAACUUUUUGAGGAAAGGCGGCCUCUGCUUGCAAGCUGUCGCAUAAGGAUGAGUCCGCGUCCCAUUAGCUAGGUUGGCGGGGUAACGGCCCACCAAGGCAACGAUGGGUAGCCGAUUUGAGAGGAUGAUCGGCCACACUGGGACUGAAACACGGCCCAGACUCCUACGGGAGGCAGCAGUGGGGAAUAUUGCGCAAUGGGCGAAAGCCUGACGCAGCGACGCCGCGUGAGGGAUGAAGGUUUUUCCGGAUCGUAAACCUCUGUCAGAAGGGAAGAAACUGCCGUGCUCUAAUCAUCAUGGCAUUGACGGUACCUUCAAAGGAAGCACCGGCUAACUCCGUGCCAGCAGCGGC
rnacentral:rRNA from 1 species